AAUUCAUAUGUGCCUUGAACAUCUUUUUUGGGGCGUGUUUUUCUAUUUUUCUUCUCUUUUGGUUUCUGGCAUUCUCUCCGAAGAAGCACAAUGAUAAAGAAAAGUAAAAACAUGGAAGAAAGCGUUAAACUGCAGAAAAUAAAUAGAAUGGA
rnacentral:ribozyme from 1 species